ensembl:lncRNA
UGACUCACUCACAAAAUAUUCCCGAGUGGCUGCUUCACUUCAGAUGCUGGAACACUGCUGUAGAACCAGUCUCCAGUCAACAGAUGAGAUGUCUGCCCAAAGGGAGGACAGAGAAGGCAACAAAUGGGAGAACUAACAACAAACACUACACUUAUAGAUGAGGACAGUAGGGAGGAAUUCACAGGAAAGCAGGAAGGAUGCUUGGGUGUAUAUCUCUGUGAUAGAGAGGAGCAGAAAAAGAUAAAUUAAGGGCAAUUCUCUCCAUGGCUCUGGGAAAGAAGUCUGGGUAGAGAACUGAGACAUGAUCCUGAUGUCCAGAUGGGUCUUUAGUAGACUGGCUGGCUGGAAAAAGUCCUGGGUUGGACAUGGGAGAAGAAACAAGCUGGAUGCUGAAGGACACGCCAGCCCAACAGACCUUUGGAUUUCCAUGAAGCCUCAAGGGAAAAGCUACUAAGCCCAAAUGAGAUGGAAGUUGGCUCAUCCGUAGUGUCGCCUGGAUCUGGGAAUGACUGAGGAGUUCAGGAUACAUGGGGGAAGUAUGAAACUAACCAAGAUGGAGAAGUAGGAAGAAUCACCAACGCAAGGCUCUUUCCAGCCAGAAUGGUUGAAAGAAUAAUAGGAAAGAGAAGGGAGUAUGCCAGGUUGCCCAGUGAGCAGGGCUGAUGGAUGAAACAAGGGUGUAGCUGCCAGACUGCUUUGAGUCUUAACAGAGACUGAAUUUGGAUAUUUGAGUGACACUGGAUCUUUUAAACCAUUGGCUGCUCUUGGAGUUGGAGUAGAUGCAUUUUCCAGUAAGAAAAAAUAAAAGAAAAGAAAAAGAAAAAUUAGGCUUUGCAGUUAUGAAAAUUUUGCAGCUUGAAUCAGACAUGUUGGGGGACAUUUUGAGUGUGCUCCUGAGUAGACAGUAGUAUUUUGUGAAGGCAUGGGGACCUUAGGAAGUAGGCCUGGUUGGUGCACAUAGAGGUGUGCUCAGCUCUCUGCUUCCUUUGUACACAUGAUUUGAGGAGGCUUUCCCACAUGUUCCUGACACCACAUAAGGGGUCAAUAUGGCUGUCAUCUCUUCCCUUCCAUGAUGGACUUGAGAUUUAGUACAACUGCAAGUCAGGAUAAGCCUUUUCUUCCUUGUCCCUGACAAGGACUUCAGUCAAUAGUGACACAAACAUAGAUAAUACAUUAACUUGCUGCUUCAUGUAGUAGUUCUUGGGCAAAAAGCCUGGAGGAACCAUCCAGCACAUAUCCCUGCGAGGGACAAGGGCAGACGGAGUUUGUGUGGGGAUCCAUGAAUGAUGAGGGCCACAGAGUCUGGAGUAGUAUAAGAAAGGGUAGAGCCUCCCAGCUGAAGUCUAGGAAAUGCUGCCUUUUGCUGCAUUGGAACAGCUUAGUAUUUGUGCAAAACAAGGAGCUGAAGGGCUUCCCCAACUAUGGGUACCAUAAUACAAACCUGAAGGACAUCUCUUACUCAGUUGCCCAGUGCAGAUCUGCUCCUCCGGAG